CAGCCGCCGCGGUAACACUAGCACCUCAAGUGGCAGUCGGUUUUAUUGGGCUUAAAGCGUUCGUAGCCUGUUUAGUGUGUCCCUAGUGAAAUCCUGCGGCCUAACCGUAGGGCUUGCUGGGGAAACUACUAGACUUGAGGACGGGAGAGGUCAGGGGUACUUCUUGGGUAGGGGUGAAAUCUUAUAAUCCAAGAAGGACCAACAGUGGCGAAGGCGCCUGACAUGAACGUGCCUGACGGUGAGGGACGAAAGCCAGGGUAGCGAAACGGAUUAGAUACCCGUGUAGUCCUGGCCGUAAACGAUGCUGACUAGGUGGGGCUCGUUCUUAGAGAUCGAGCUAUGCCGAAGAGAAAUCGUUAAGUCAGCCGCCUGGGUAGUACGUCCGCAAGGAUGAAACUUAAAGGAAUUGGC
rnacentral:rRNA from 1 species